UACGUAGGGUGCAAGCGUUGUCCGGAAUUAUUGGGCGUAAAGAGCUCGUAGGCGGUUUAUCGCGUCUGCUGUGAAAUCUUAGGGCUUAACCCUGAGCUUGCAGUGGGUACGGGCAGACUAGAGUGCGGUAGGGGAGACUGGAAUUCCUGGUGUAGCGGUGAAAUGCGCAGAUAUCAGGAGGAACACCGGUGGCGAAGGCGGGUCUCUGGGCCGUAACUGACGCUGAGGAGCGAAAGCAUGGGGAGCGAACAGG
rnacentral:rRNA from 1 species